GCUCUACCUUGCUUCGUCUUGUUAUCUAUGGCUAUAGAGCUUAAUCUUUGCUGUCGCAUACGCUCCCGACAAUGAAGCGCUUGUAUUGUGUUGCUCAUUUCGACGGCAUAUUUACAAUUUCAUUGCACAAUUAUCAAAAAACAAAAAACAUACGAUUGUAAAUGGACACUUUAUCUUUCAAAUCACACAAUAACGAAAACAAUCAGAGCAUAAACAAAAAAGAUAUAACUAGCUGAAAUUUGUGUAUUUUAGCG